rnacentral:rRNA from 1 species
GACAGUUCGGUCCCUAUCUGCCGUGGGCGUUGGAAGAUUGAAGGGGGCUGCUCCUAGUACGAGAGGACCGGAGUGGACGAACCUCUGGUGUUCGGGUUGUGUCGCCAGACGCAUUGCCCGGUAGCUAAGUUCGGAAUCGAUAACCGCUGAAAGCAUCUAAGCGGGAAGCGAGCCCUGAGAUGAGUCUUCCCUGAUACUUUAAGUAUCCUAAAGGGUUGUCGGAGACUACGACGUUGAUAGGUCAGGUGUGUAAGUGCUGUGAGGCAUUGAGCUAACUGAUACUAAUUGCCCGUGAGGCUUAACCAUACAACACCCAAGGGGUUU